rnacentral:rRNA from 1 species
CUCGUAGGCGGUUCGUCGCGUCCGGUGUGAAAGUCCAUCGCUUAACGGUGGAUCCGCGCCGGGUACGGGCGGGCUUGAGUGCGGUAGGGGAGACUGGAAUUCCCGGUGUAACGGUGGAAUGUGUAGAUAUCGGGAAGAACACCAAUGGCGAAGGCAGGUCUCUGGGCCGUCACUGACGCUGAGGAGCGAAAGCGCGGGGAGCGAACG